GUGUGUGUGUGUGUGUGUGUGUGUGUGUCCACGAAUACUAGGAACAUUCCCGUAUAGGCGUCUGUUGGGUAUAUGUGACCAUUAAAGGCCCCAUGAGUGCUUGUAAAUAAACCUUUGGUAUAAUGGAACUUGAACUCAGUGGGGGUGUGGUCCUAUGUGGACCAUACUAAGCAAAUGAUGUUUGCCGAUAUCGAACUGAGCUUGACGUGCUCGGCCAGUCGGUUGGAAAAAACCCAUGUUACCUGGGCAUAGAAAUUAAACCGAUAGGGGUUAUGAUGGAUCAUCCCUUGAUAAAGUCAGAAUAUGCCCGGAUGAGUGAGCCGAUGAACUGUGUGACCCUUGUAUGUUAUGGUGGCCCCUCAGAGACGGGAGCCAAACCUCAUCUAUGUACCAUCACACGGCAUAUACAAAUAAUAGCAGUAUUGGAUAAGCGAACCAACUUUCAAGGUGAAUCAUGUACAUGUGCGAGAUAUUAUCCCUAUGCACCAUAGAGCUGUAGUUGCAUCAGGUCUAGGUGAUCGUGGUUUCUCUCUAAGGGAGAACCUGAAAUCAACAGACUGAGAUUAGAUCCCCUUGCUCAUUAGCUGACUUUGGUAGCCCAAUCAUCUGCCCCUACGAUAGAUUAUGGGUCAUGGGAACCGUUGAGUCAAUUUGAAAAAGCAAGUGCGGAUUGUGGUCCACAGUAGAAGGUAGAGUGUUCUAAAGUUAUAAAUAUUCCUAGACCAUAUAGAUCCAAUUCCCAUCAAAAUUAUUUAAUUAUAAUUGUUUUAAUGUUAUUUGAUUUUUAGAAUUAUUGUUUGAAUUUUUC
rnacentral:lncRNA from 1 species